AGCGAACGCUGGCGGCAGGCCUAACACAUGCAAGUCGAACGAACCUUUCGGGGUUAGUGGCGGACGGGUGAGUAACACGUGGGAACGUGCCUUUAGGUGCGGAAUAACUCAGGGAAACUUGUGCUAAUACCGAAUGUGCCCUUCGGGGGAAAGAUUUAUCGCCUUUCGAGCGGCCCGCGUCUGAUUAGCUAGUUGGUUGAGGUAAUGGCUCACCAAGGCGACGAUCAGUAGCUGGUCUGAGAGGAUGAGCAGCCACAUUGGGACUGAGACACGGCCCAAACUCCUACGGGAUGCAGCAGUGGGGAAUCUUGCGCAAUGGGCGAAAGCCUGACGCAGCCAUGCCGCGUGAAUGAUGAAGGUCUUAGGAUUGUAAAAUUCUUUCACCGGGGACGAUAAUGACGGUACCCGGAGAAGAAGCCCCGGCUAACUUCGUG
rnacentral:rRNA from 1 species